rnacentral:rRNA from 1 species
GGAGUCUGGGCCGUGUCUCAGUCCCAAUGUGGCCGUUCAACCUCUCAGUCCGGCUACUGAUCGUCGACUUGGUGAGCCGUUACCUCACCAACUAUCUAAUCAGACGCGAGCCCAUCUUGCAGCGAUAAAUCUUUGAUAUGGUCAUCAUGCGAUAUUCAUAUGUUAUGUGGUAUUAGCGAUCGUUUCCAAUCGUUAUCCCUCUCUGCAAGGCAGGUUGCUCACGUGUUACUCACCCGUCCGCCACUAAGAACGUAUCUUCCUUCCGAAGAAUUCAAAAUACGCUCUCCGUUCGACUUGCAUGUGUUAGGCGCGCCGCCAGCGUCGUCCUCGAGCCAGGAGUCAAACUACU